AAUGACUUCGCUCAGUUUGUCGUUUUAAAUGAAGAGGGAAGAACGACAUCAUCACCGUCUUCUUCUUCAUCAUCAUCGAAUUAUUGAUGGUGUUGAUGAAUGGGAUUGCAAUUGCAGAUGAAUUGGCAGCCGAGUUUGCUCAGUCAGAAAAGGAAGAACGGCCCGCCUUUAGGGUUGAGAAAUCUCGGCAACUCUUGCUAUCUCAAUAGCGUCCUUCAGUGCCUUACUUACACUCCUCCCCUUGCC
rnacentral:misc_RNA from 1 species